GAGGCCUGUACACGGUUCUUUCGGUUAAAGUUCUCUUCAGACUCGGCCCGUAUGCUUAGGCCCAAAUAACUCUCUUCAUAUCAGGUUUGGUUGCAGAAUUAGGGAGAUGAAGAUGAAGAUGAAGAUGAAGAUGAAGAAGAAUGAUCAAAAUGGCGGAAAUACGAUAUUGUCUGUAUCACCAUUGAAAGCUAUUACUCUUCAUCUGAUAUGCUUACUAGGGUUAGCUUUAGCUUUCUGGAUACCUAGUCAUAUCUACUCGCUCGAUCUCAUCACGCAUCCAUCCCAAACUCUUCGCAUGAUUUCGGUGUUUCUGGCUCCAGUACUAAUUCUUCUUUACAGUCACCUUCGACACGAUAGGACCCAAUGCUCUUACGUCAAAGCUGUAGGACGAGGCUUGCUGGCGCUUCCUGCCGGAGCCGUAGUAAAUGCACUCGGAGCUACUAUAUUAGGAGCACCUGUUGGUUUCGAGUAUUUCUCCAAGACCUUUAAUUGGUCUCUUCUGAUGUCACUACUCACUUUUGUACCAGCAGCUUGUGUUUUUGGCUCAUCAUGGACUGAUUGGCACCGAAUAUUUGCUAGAACAAAAGCAAGUGAGUCCACAGACUAUAUGAUCAGUCUACCUGCUCAUGGAGCUGUUAUUGGAGCAUGGUUUGGUGCUUGGCCAAUGCCACUUGAUUGGGAAAGCCCAUGGCAGGUAAGUAGGGCCACCUCACACAAUCUUGAGGAACCUUGUACAUAUCAAAGUAGGAUACCAAGUGCUGCUAGGAGGCAAGGCAAACCUUGUCAGUUUUUUGCACUUCCUCGUAGAUUGUUUCCACCUCAUCAGUGGCCUGAUUAGUAUAGCUCGUCCUUAUGGAAGACACACACAUCUGCUGGAAACCUGUUUGUGUUGCUCUGGACACUUCGAAGUGAACCAUAUCUGUGAAUGAGAGGUGGUGGGAAUCUGCUAGAUGAUUUCUUCUUAAAGAAACUAAGCUAAUAGUUCAUUUACCAUAAUGAAGUAUUAUAUCCUGCUAUACUAGUACUAAUGCAAAAGAUAAAGCGAUAUAAAGGAGAGAAGAAAAAAGGUUGGUGCUUAUGUGGCUCCUUUUUGUUGGGGGAAUGGCCUAUUUGUGUGACUUAUGGAGCUAUAGCUGGUUACCUCGUGGGGCUUGUGACAUCCUUGGGCUGCAUUAUCUUCUGUAAC